CCCAUGUGUGGCAUCCUGAUUACUGUAUCAGCUCUGCUGCCGGAGCAGAGGGAGAGGCAAGCGCAGGUGACCGAUAGGCAUGCCACUGUCCUCUGUGGCUGGCAGACGGAGGGCAGGGAUGUCGUGGCGGCAUGGUCCCCAUCCAUGCUCCUGACGCUGCAGGCUCUGACAGCUUAUCCCUCACCACCACUUGCCUGCCACCCGGGGUGUCUAAGCGCACAGGCGAAGCUCUGUGUGAGAUGACUGGCUGUACUCUGUGUAGCCUCUAGGGACUGUCUCAGACCUGGCUGGCGGCUUGAAGAGGUAUGCCUCAUUGGGACGCUGGCACUCCAGACUGCCCUCCUACUAUAUCUGCCAAGCACAAAUCCAACAGAAAACCCAAGUCCACUCUGCUCAGAGAAGCCCAACCUGAAACGUCUGAGAAACCAGGAGAGCACAGCAGCCCUGAAAACCACCAUGUGCAUCUGGAACUGGCAAGAAAUGGCCAAUCAGAGAGCACAGUGCUGGGGAUGGCAGAAAAUCAAAUCAUGAUGAAGAGGAGACAGACAGG